UUCUGAUAGCCCUUUCUCAAAAGAGCUUUCCAGUCUCCUUUGUUUUAUGGUGGUACGUUGUCUGUAAUUCAGGCUGUUGGCUCCUUGAGCAGCAACCUGCCAUUUGUUGUUAGCCUGUACACAGCUGUGGCACUGAAGGAACAAUAAAAAUAACACUAAAGUUGGGCUGAGAGCUACGAAAUGUUUCCUGCCUUUCUGAUGCUGAAGUAAUGUGGCAGAUGGUCUAGUUCUUGUUACUAGUUCCUUCCCUAGCAAAUCUCUUACGAGGACUGGCAUGAGAGCCAUUUAGUAUGAAAUGCUUUCUCCCAGUGCUGUCUAUGGGAGCAGUUCCUUAAUCUAUUAUAUAAUAUCUGACAAAAUCAGAGAAAUUGGAUGGCAUGGCUCUUCUGUCAGCUGGACAGAUUUCUUUUGUUGUGGGUUCUUUUCUUUUUUUUUUUUUUUUUUCCCCAAGCUAAUAAUCCUCAUUGUCAAUGAAGAAAGGCACACAUCUAUUUUUCCCUAAGAAGAUUCUUUUAAAAUUAAUUUUGAGAAUCGUUUUCCAUAUCUAGGGUUUUUCCACUUCUAAGUAAAUAGUGGUAUUUGCAUUAACUUCCGUGUACUUUAUACCACAAAGGAUUAGUCAUAUUCACAACCUCCAUGUUUAUUUGCAACAUUUAGUUUGAAUAGAUUCUGUCUGGAGCCCCAGCCCUAACUUGAACCUGUCUAGAGGUUGUUCCACAACCUGCUGUUGUUGCUUGGGUUGUUUUGUUGUUUUUUUUUUAACUCAAACAUUAAUUGCUGAUGAAUUACUGCUCUCUUAAAAGUCUACCUACCCUUGGGCUACCUCUUUACCUAUUUUACUUUGAUAAACAGCUGUGCACUGCAUACUUCCUGAUAUUUAAGUGAUUUUGGCAGAACACAGACUUGAAACAAAAACGAAAAUUGCUCAAUCCCUGCUGUUUCCUUUAACGUUGCUUUCAUUUUCAAACAGUUUCAAAAACAUUUUGCCUCCUUUCGUAUUUAUUCUGGGUCACAUUAGUGGAUACAAGCUAUGGGCAGUGUUUAGAAGCUGCUGUGUAACUAACAUUUUCUGUCAAUGCCAAACUCUUAUUUUACCUGGAAAACAUUUUAGCCUUUUACAGCAGACAUUACCACAGAUAAUUGUCUUCUGUUUUAGCUUUUUCUCUAUUGUGUGUUUCAUUCUCGUCUAACAAAGGGUUUAUCUUGUGUCUAACAUCCUCAGUGGAACAGAAAUGCAUGCAGCUUUGCCUGACAGUCCUUUAUGUUUAUCUCUCACCACUCAGUAUUUUAAAUUCACAUGUUCUCCAAUAUGCUUUGUAUUUUUUCUCUUAAAGGUUUCCUAAUUCAGCCUUUUCUUUUGGAAAGAUGCUCUUAAAUUCCUGUACUUCAGCACCUUCACUAUGCCGUGUUUAUGUUCUGUUUAAUACUUCAUGUGACAGUUUCCUGGCACAAAACCUGUCCUUUGUGCCAGGGAAUAUUAAUGUUGUCCAUUGCCCUGUAAAAUAAGAAUAACCCCUUCUCAGUCAUUGCAAAACAACAUUUCACAUGUGCUAUGGAUCUCUAGAUUUAAAAUAGUAACAAAUCAACAAAACUUUUUAAAAAGCAACCCUUUUUCUAGAUUUACUGUUACUGGAAGGGAUGAAGAGAAAACAUUAACUGCUUUUCAGUAAAAGCUGUUGAAUAUGAGUGGUAGAUAAUGUUAAGUACCUGCAAACUAUACAGUUAGGGAACUGUAUAGGUCAGGGGUCAGAUUUUUAUUUCAUAUGAAUGCAACAAAAUUGAAUUAGUGUCUGUCAAAAUGGGAGAAGAACUUUAAUAUGAAUUAGGUGAUGUAUAAUGAGGAAAAAAGAUAAUGUCCAAGUUAGAAAGAGACACCCGCUGAAUAUACUAAAAGCAAUUCACAGCUCUAAGACAAAGCUAGACUAAGAGCAGAAAUCAGUUCAAGCUUACAAACACUUAAGCCUAAAGAAUCUAAACAUUUUUCACUGAUGAUAAAAGAUUGCAGUCUGUUUGCACAGAGACAGCCUGUUGGUAAUAUUUCUUUGUCACAUCUAAAAAAUUUUUCUUGCCAUGAAACGUGGAACCCUGAGCAGUCCUUGGUUCUGGAGUUGCGAACAAUUGUUGAAGUGAUCAGGAUGGAUUGAAGAUAGAGGAGAGAUCCUAAAGCAGGAUGUGUGCUAUGAAUUUGCCGUAUCCUGCAAUAUCAGUCGUCAGUUCUUUGCCUCUAGGUCUCCUAGUGGUGGAUGGAUUUGCACAGAUGUUACUUAUGGUCUAAGAAAUGCUGUGGUUUAGUAUUCUACUUGACAGCUAAAGAAAAGCAGUUCCUUAAAUAAGUUAAAGAUGACAGUUUAAGAUCCUGGGCUGGUCCUAUCUAUAUAAGGUGGAAGGACCACUUUGACUCUAGGAUUUAAAAUUAGAUCCUUAAGGGCCUAUUGGUUGUCUCUGUGUUCAGACAUUUAGAGUCUGUGGAUGCCAAACACUUUGAUAUCAAAAGCCCCUGGUGCUUCAUGUUCUGCUUUGCACUUUUUGCACUUUGGAGCCAGCAGUGCUGAUGGACCAGGUCUUUGUCCACACCUUGGCCUUUUGGGGAUUUAUGGAAUAAGCAUUUCACUCCUUUAGCCCUGGGGAAUGAUUGUAAAGUCUACUAAAAGCAAACUUAUUUUCGGUGUGCCAUAUUACUUGAUGGUCAUAUUUUCAGUGCAUCCCUUCAGCAACUGCCAUUCCAAGUUCCUUGUUCCUCCCCCUCCAGCUGGUGCCUCUUUCUGAUCCUCACAGUGGAGCUGGUGCACCGCUUCAGCCUGGAGAGUGUGUCCAGCUACAAAAUAGAAAAGCAGCAAUAGGAAAAAAAGUUGCUUUUAGGCCCAGCUAGACGCUGGGCACCUCAAGGUGUAGCUGCAGCCACACUCCUACCCCUGGGCUGGAUGGGAUCAUGUAGAGUGUCUGAGAGAGCAGCAAAAGACAGGGAGCAAAUGCUGAAGCCACAGCUGCUAUCACAGGUCAAGCAAGUCUUUUCUGUGCUUGAAAAAGAGACUUGGGUAUUCAAAGCUGUGAGUACACAAAGGCUGUGAUUCUUAGAAUUAUCAAAUAGUUUAGGUUGGGAAGGACCUUGUGAGAUUUAGUCCAUCCACUAACCUAGCACUGCCAAGUCCACCACUAAACUGUCCCUAAGUGCUGCAUCUACACCUCUUUAAAAUGCUUACCGGGCUGGGGACUCAACCACUGCCCUGGGCAUCCUGUCAGUGCUUGAGAACCCUUUUGGUGAGGAAACUUUUGUCCAAUAUAAACCUCCUCUGGUUCAAUUUGAGCCUGUUUCCACUUGUUCUAUUGUUUGUUAACUUUGGUGAAAAGACUAAACCCCACUUUGCUGCAAUCUCCUUUCACGUAGUUGUAGCUAGUGAUGAGGUUUCCCCUGAGACCCCUCUUCUCCAGCCUAAACAGCCCCAGCUCCCUCAUCCAGCUUGUGCUCUAGACCCUUCACUAGCUUUGUCCAAGGCAGCAGUUCUGCUUACCCCCCUCCUUACUUCUCUGAGAAUUGAAAACUCAUUUUGUGAUUACUGUGCCCAAGGCAGCCUCCAGCCAUCACAUCACCCACAAUUUGUUCUCUGUUCACUAACAACAGGUUCAGGGGGCACCUUCCCUAGUUGGCUCCCUCACCAGCUGUGUCAGGAAGUUAUUUUCCACUUGCUCCAGGAACCUCCCAGAUUACUUAGUCUCUGCUGUAUUGUAUGAAAUGGCAGACAGAUAAAACCUAGAAGGAGUCACAAUUUCCUAGCAUCUCCAACUGGGCAGUUUAAAUAGUCUUCUUGACAGUGUGCCAGUCAUUUUAGUACCAGAUAUGAUCACACUGCAAUUAAGUGCUGCAAGCCCACAUGGAUGAGGAGUAGAAAAAAACUGAAAAGGCUCACUGAUAGGUUUUACCUACCUGUGCAUUAAAAGCAGUUAUCAGGUUUCUGCCCUUUAAAUUUUAAUGUUCAAAACCCUGAGAAUCAAUUAUGUUAAUAAAUACUUUAACACCUCAGCUCUUUUAGAGUCGCUGUGGGACAAGAAGAGUUCACAAAGUGCUUUGGUUUUCUGCAGUGUAGAAAAAUUGCCAGCCAGGAGUUGGCAGAGAGCAUCAGUAUCUCUCUAGGACUCCUCCAGUUGGCAGCUGCAGGAUAUCAGCCUGCCGGAAAGGCUGCUGUAAAGCUGGAUGUUUGCAAAGAGCCAGCUGCUCCUUGCGUCAGGGAAACCUCAUGCUCAGUUUGACCCAAAUGGGUACUGAUAUGCUUGAUUUUUAUACAGGUCUGGAAAUGCACGCUGGUCAUAUGUAAAUGUGCUCACGAGGUCAGUUGUUGCUGAUUAUUGCUGCCAGUUUGCCUCUGUAAAGCAGCAAGAAACUGACACUUUCUAAAAUCAGAGCAAUUUGCUAAUUUAAAAUGUUAAUGGAUUCAUUUAUGGGGGUUUUUGCAUCCUUUAUCAGGUCUAGAACUGCUAUUCACUUACAGAGAAUUAUUUUAUGUGCAUGUUUUCCCUUGUGAUUUAUUUCUAGUCCAACUUUUACAUUGCUAAAUUCUGCACUAACCCAAGUGAAAUAAUAUUUUCUGCUCAGUGAAGGAUUAAUACUUUUGAUGAGGUGUUUCUGACACAGGAGGUCCACAGAUGUUCUUGCACAAGCUUUAAAAGGGACAUUCGACAUGUGGUAUUACAAGAACAUAUUCAGCAAAUUUAGGUAAGUGAAUUCACUUAAUAAACUGCUUUUCAUUGAACUAGAUGGAGCCAAAUCAACUACUUUCCCAAUAAAUUUAUUAGUGCAGUAUAGUUUGGUGCUUUACUAAGCUGCUGUGUUUUGGAGUGGAAGGAGUGAAGCCAGUGGCACUGGGAAGUUUCAAGGCAGAAAAAGGGCAGCUCCCUAGGAGUACAGCAGUGUGCUUACUGCAGUGCUGCUGCUUCUCCAGAUUUUGAAAGAAGGGAUUCAUGUUGUGCUACACAACCAUCCCUGAAACUCAAAAAUGUUGAAGCCAAAAGAAAGAUGAGCUAUUUUGGAUGCCCCCUUCACUGCUUUUCAUUUCAUAAAUAAUAAGGUGUCCUGAAGGGGCUGGAAUAGGAAAUUCUCACAGCCCCAGAAAGCAUCCUGGGACUCUGUUUCUAGCCUCACAGUUAAUGUCUGGAGUUUCUAACAAGAGGAGCCAUUCACUGUGUUAAAUUCACAUGCAUAAACCCUUUUGUGGAUACUGAAUGCUUUGGCAUAUGCAGAGUUCUUCUUUCAAAAGCCCAUAUUCAAUACAGAUUUCAACAUUUCUGGACAGUAAGUCAUCUCUAUCCAUCAAGACUGAGAACCACAAAAGUUGGGUGCUUUUUAUAAUUGAGUGUGACUUCUCCAAAGAGAGAUGAUUGCACCAUAAGAAUGGAAAUUUUUCUGCCAGAAUUUGCCUCCCUGUAUCACUUUCCCUACUGAAAGAUGUUUGGGAUUUGGGAUAUGCUGUCACAAUGGGUCUUGGAUGAGACAUUACAGAUCAUGUGCUUUGGAUUUUGUCUGACACGGAGUCUUUGUCAGGCAGCUUGCAGAUAACACUGACUCCUGCAGUAUUUAUCCAAAUGACCUCAAAAUGACUUGGUCAAAGGAAAAAAAAGAAAAAAAAAGAGGUUAUAGCUUUCCACUCCUUACCUCGAGCUCUUGACCUGCAUAAAGAUCAGAUUUCUUUAAGAGAUAUCGGAGAAGACUUUGUUUAUAUUCCCCUUAUUUACAUUACAGCUAUUGUCUAGUAUGUCCUGCUCUUUCUGGGUAGGCAGCACUCUCUGAGUGCUAAACACAGCUUACUAGGCUGCCAGAAUGACAGUUCUACAUCGUAUUAUGAAGGUGGGUCCUUAGUGUGGAUUUUAUUAGAGUAAGGCAUCUACUUUCACUGCCCAUGAUCCCACCCUAACCCAUCGCUUCUGCAUUCAUUCCCCAGCAUGUGCUGACUACUCUAUUUUCUUAGGUAGGGUUUAAUAAGUUUUUCUUGAUGUUAUGCAAAAUAAUCAGGCAAACCAAUAUUAGAUGCCACCACUUCAGCCUCUGGAAUAAGAGUUUUGUUAGCAAAGUGAGUUAGAAAAUAGUUUUAUUUUGAAACAGUAGCAUUUGGGUAUUUGCUUGCCAAGUUAAUUUUAUGUUUCUUAAUACACAUAUUCCUUAGACUGAGCCAUCAUUUCCUGGUUUCUGAAGCUGAAACAAUAUUUGUUUCCUUCCUAAUCACAUGGUUUUAGUUAAAAAGGAGUUUUGAUUUGGUUCUCUUAAAAUUAGAAGCAUAUUUUGUUUCAAUUUGAUUAUUUUUAAAGUUCGGCAACUCUGACAACAGGAAAAAAGACUCCUAAGAGCACUUUCUUAAAAAAUUCUGGACACUUACAAAAUAAAUGAAACACCACCAAGUAGUUUUCCUUCGAUAACCUCACUAUAUUUUUAUUUCUCUUGUAUUUCUUCUAACAGUGUUAUCCACUAAUAUAACCCAAUGAAGAUAUUUCAGUCAUUGCAUCCAUAAACUAGCCUUGAUUCAUGGAGAAGCAUCCACACAACCUCUCCUAAAGAUGUGAGCUGGCAACUUACACACAUGUGAAUGCUCAUUAGUUUCACUGAUGGAUGUGAGAGAACCUGUUAGCAGACUGUAAAGACUGAGCUUCAGUGUUGAACCCUUCUGGGUGACUGGGGGGAAUAAGAUUACUUCUGUGAGAUGGAUGGGAAACUCUUAAACUCUCAAAUACCAGUUACAAGUAAGAAAACACAUUGUUUGCAUCAAGGAGUUUAGACAUUCUUCUUUUGAAUGAACCUCAGAAUGUCACAAGUUGCUGUAAAUGAGGAUAACCUUGUGAAAUGUUCUCUCUCUGCUGAACAGAAUCAAAGCUGUUUGAAAGAGACCCAGGUGUGACAUCCUGCUUACUAGCAGGUGUGUUAUCUGCUCCUAACAACUUAAUCUGGGGGUGAAGCAAGCAGCAUGGGUGAAGAUUUGCUUCAUAUAUAAACAUUGAAAUAAAGAGCCCACAGCCUCUGGCAACUCAGCAGAGUUAAAAGGUAUUUAGAUUCAGUAAAGACAGUAAUAGGAAGCCAAAGUAUUUUUUUUUUUCUGUUACCAAGAAGCCAGAUCAUAUCCUCAGAAACUUCUUCCUCAGGUACUACAAAACCUAAUUCUUGAGAUAAAAUCAAAAAAGACAUCAGGCAGUAGCUCAUUGCUCCUUAUGUCCUCCCUGAUUUUUGCCCUGCUAUCAAGGACACCUUUGAUUUUAUUAACCAGAAGAGAAAAACAACUGUCAGAUUCCUCACACAAAUCACAUUCUGCCAGCUGUGCUAAAAAAAAGUGAUGCAAGGAUCACAACUAUAAUGGCUCCUCUGGAGAGGCCAUCUCUAAUCCUACUAUGAAGACAGGUAUUUUUCCAGAAACUGAGCUAAUCUGGGAACCUGGAGCCUAGUUCUAAUCCAGUUUUCUUGUCCUGAGGUGAAGCCAAAGUUUACCUUUCCAUUGAGAAGACAAGUGUGUCCACUCCUUUCACCCCCACCCUUGACAGUAGGAACUGUUUUGAACCCACACUGCAUGGUCAGAGUGGAAGUACAGUAGAUGAUCCUUCUCCAUGGAAACUACAGAUCAAAGUGUUUUUCGAGACAUAUUUUGAAUGUAGCCAAGUGUUCUAAAGCAUUACACAGCCUGUGAAUUUGCUUUUCCUUCACUAUGGGUUAAUGAAUAAUCCACUGUGUACUUUUAUCUUGCAAAGUUUGGUCUUUAAUUGUUGGUUUCAGGAGACAGAAAGCAACUAAAUAUUACUGAUUUGGUUUUUUUUGUUUUUCUUUUAAGUAGUAUGUGAAAUCAGUAAACGGAAUGUUGUGAGGUUUGUUAAAUUGUAGCUAACAGCUCACCAUUGUCAGAUGGCAUAGACCCUGCUGCCUUUACCCCAUCCCCUUGCUUAAGACAGUCUCAUCUUCAACCUUCUGCCAGGUCUCACACCUGCUGGAUCUUUCACUAGCUCAUCAGAUCUGCAAACCCAGCAGGAACAGCUUCUGUAGGGUUAAUGACUGGUCUUAUGCAAUUUCACACUUUAGCGAAGUGAUUGUGCAAGGACUGGAACAUGUGAGCUACAGGCACCACAUGGCAUCUGCUCACAGAUAACCAUUUGUGACUGCUGUCCUUCUGUUCAGUUUUGAACAUUUAGGUCAAGAGACCUCCUGUGUAAGCCUGGGCUGCCACCAAACAAAGUGGUGAGUCAAGACUCUGCGACAGCUCAUAUCCUCUGUGGCUCACCAGAAAGACCUCUAACACUGAAAGACUCCAGUUGCAUGACAGUGAGUUCAGUUCCAAUUUUCCCAUCUAAUUGUUCCUUUAACAACAAAAGUCUGCAAAAACCAGCCUGACAAACCAAUCUUAUGAGUACUGCUUCCUGUUUUCUGAAGCUGAAUCCAGAACAACAGUUUGUGUAAUGAUGAUGAGCUGUUAAAUAAAAUUAAGUCUUUUUCCCUAUGGACUUUGUAAUAAAAACUGUAAACAAUAUUUUGCAAAUAAAGCUGCAGGCCUAUGGGCUGUCACUCCCAGAUGGCAUGAAUUAGUGGAGGAA